UAGGGAAUAUUAGAAAUGGACGAAAGUCUGAUCUAGCAACACCGCGUGUGCGAAGAAGGCCUUUGGGUCGUAAAGCACUUUUUGGAAGGAAUAGGAAGGAAUGUACUUCCAGAAUAAGUCUCGGCUAACUACGUGCCAGCAGCCGCGGUAAUACGUAGGAGGCAAACGUUAUCCGGAUUUACUGGGCGUAAAGCGCGUGUAGGUGGUACUGUAAGUAGGGCGUGAAAGCUCCUGGCUCGACUGGGAGAGGCCGUUCUAAACUACAGAACUAGAGGAUGGUAGAGGGAGGUGGAAUUCCAGGUGUAGCGGUGGAAUGCGCAGAUAUCUGGAGGAACACCGGUGGCGAAGGCGGCCUCCUGGACCAUUCCUGACACUCAGACGCGAAAGCUAGGGUAGCAAACGG
rnacentral:rRNA from 1 species